UAGGGAAUCUUCGGCAAUGGACGAAAGUCUGACCGAGCAACGCCGCGUGUGUGAAGAAGGUUUUCGGAUCGUAAAACUCUGUUGUUAGAGAAGAACAAGGACGUUAGUAACUGAACGUCCCCUGACGGUAUCUAACAAGAAAGCAACGGCUAACUACGUGCCAGCAGCCGCGGUAAUACGUAGGUGGCAAGCGUUGUCCGGAUUUAUUGGGCGUAAAGCGAGCGCAGGCGGUUUCUUAAGUCUGAUGUGAAAGCCCCCGGCUCAACCGGGGAAGGUCAUUGGAAACUGGGAGACUUGAGUGCAGAAGAGGGGAGUGUAAUUCCAUGUGUAGCGGUGAAAUGCGUAGAUAUAUGGAGGAACACCAGUGGCGAAGGCGGCUCUCUGGUCUGUAACUGACGCUGAGGCUCGAAAGCGUGGGGAGCAAACAGG
rnacentral:rRNA from 1 species